AAUGAACGCUGGCGGCAUGCCUAACACAUGCAAGUCGAACGAGACCUUCGGGUCUAGUGGCGCACGGGUGCGUAACGCGUGGGAACCUGCCUUUAGGUUCGGAAUAACUCAGAGAAAUUUGAGCUAAUACCGGAUGAUGUCUUCGGACCAAAGAUUUAUCGCCUUUAGAUGGGCCCGCGUUGUAUUAGCUAGUUGGUGGGGUAAAGGCCUACCAAGGCGACGAUCCAUAGCUGGUCUGAGAGGAUGAUCAGCCACACUGGGACUGAGACACGGCCCAGACUCCUACGGGAGGCAGCAGUGGGGAAUAUUGGACAAUGGGCGAAAGCCUGAUCCAGCAAUGCCGCGUGAGUGAUGAAGGCCUUAGGGUUGUAAAGCUCUUUUACCCGAGAUGAUAAUGACAGUAUCGGGAGAAUAAGCUCCGGCUAACUCCGU
rnacentral:rRNA from 1 species